rnacentral:tRNA from 1 species
GCCUGGAUGGCUUAGCUGGUGAAGCAUCUGACUUCAGCUCAGGUCAUGAUCUCACGGUUCGUGGGUUCAAGCCCCGUGUCGGGCU